rnacentral:ncRNA from 1 species
UUAAAGGUAAUGACUGGGAAUAGUAGAUGCCUGAAAACUUUCAGAGAGUCGGCGGUUGGUGUGAGCCGAUAGUUCCAGGGUUUUGAACUCAUCCAUGAACUGCUGCCCGAUUUGGUAAGGUAAGCCGGAGUUCCUCCGUUACAGGGAUAGACGGUGCUAGCCGUUGAAAAAGUGAAUUCUUAGGAAUUAAGUAGAGUGGUACCGCGAGUCAGCCUCGUCUCUAGA